rnacentral:piRNA from 1 species
UGUCUACUAUGUGUACACUGUGGCACACGU